UCACUGUGCGGCUGAAACGGUCCUCGAGUG
rnacentral:piRNA from 1 species